rnacentral:rRNA from 1 species
UACGUAGGGGGCAAGCGUUGUCCGGAAUUAUUGGGCGUAAAGAGCGUGUAGGCGGCCCGGUAAGUCCGCUGUGAAAGUCCAAGGCUCAACCUUUGAAUGUCAGUGGAUACUGCCGGGCUAGAGUCCGGAAGAGGCGAGUGGAACUCCUGGUGUAGCGGUGGAAUGCGCAGAUAUCAGGAAGAACACCAACGGCGAAGGCAGCUCGCUGGGACGGUACUGACGCUGAGACGCGAAAGCGUGGGGAGCGAACAGG